ensembl:lncRNA
UCAGUCAGUGGUAACUACCAUUGUACUCUCUGUUUCCAUGAACUUGACUAUUCCAGGCACCUCAUGCUGGCGUUAAAUGAUGGAGCACAGGGCUGGGUGAUGUAGCAGCCUGGUCUGAAAGGCACAGACUUCCAGCUUGCCGCUCACACUCUUUAAGAACCUGUUUGUACACAAUGCAAGGUUUGUCUGGGAAGGGCUGCAAGAGACCUGUAACUGCUGGGCUGCUGUUUUUCCUGAUAUGAAGCCUAUUCUUUAGAGGAUGUCCUCCAAGGAUUGUCUGAACAUGUCGAUAUCUGCCAUCCUGCACGGACGACUCUUCCAACUUGAAUUUGAUUUUUUUCAGACUCCAGGAGCCCCAAUGAAUUAAAAAAAAAAAGUUGUUUGAGCAUUCAAAAAUGGCAUAUUUUGAAGAAUCUUUGUGGCUAUUUUAACCUUUUGUUAGAAGGAAACCUACAUGUUGAAACUUGAAGGAGGGCCAAGGAUGUAUGUGACUUGUUUAGGAUUGUGGAGGUAAAGAGGACCCAGACAGGCACUCUAUACCAGCUCCCUGAUCACUGGUUGGCACUUUUUCUCUUCACUAUAUCGCCAGUGCUGUUUAAGACAGAAUGUCUGUCCUGGAUUGGAAAAAUAUCUCUGCUUCUUCCCACCCAAGUUGGGUUCUCUGCCCACUGCAAGACAUGCCAAUAGUCAGGAGGCGAGGUGGUAGGGGAGAAAGGCUUUCUUUUUUAUAGCUUGCUAGUAAGAGGGAAGAUGGCCAACUCAUGUCCGAAAGAGCUAUCUUACAGAACAAAGACUGUCGGCCAGUUAUAUAUGGGGCUGGUUUCCGGGUGGGGGCAGACAUGUGGUUUUAGUUUCUGAUAGUCCUUUUGUUUUACCGGAUAACCACAUCAGAGACAGGAACAAUGCCCUACACCCUGAUCUUUCAGUUGUCAUUGAUGGCUAUCAGCAUAGGCUCUCUUUCCCAGAAGGUCAUCACAUUCCUAGAGAACUCAAAAGAACAAAGUUAUCAUCUUAUCACAGUUGGGAGGGGCCACAAAAUCUACAGAGCAUGUCUGGGCUAGUUAAUCAGAGGUCAUUUAAAAAGUUACUAUAUGGUUUCUUUUCUACAGUAUGGUUUCCCUCAUGUCAACCUUGUGUUGAGCUGGUAUCACGCUGAGGUGUUAAUCAUUUGGAGGAGCUUUCUAGGCCCCAAACUUAAAAUAAUUUUGUUCAUACUUGUUAGGGAAAAAAAAAACUUUCAAAAAGUAACGGUUACAAUCAUAAGAAGACAAACAACCUGAUUAAAAAUUAUCCAAAGAUUUAAACGGACACUUCACAAAAGAAAAUAUAUGAAUAGUCAAUAGGCUCAUGAAAAGAUAUUCAUCAUCAUUAGUCAUCAGGGAAAUGCAAAUAAGAACCACAACUUGAUACCACAACACCCACUGAAAUGGCUUAAAUUAAAAAAGACUGACAUGAAAAACACCAAGUUUUGGUGAGGAUGUGGAAUAAGUAGAAUUCUCAUACCUUGCUUAUGGGAAGGCACAACCACUUUGGGGAACUUCUUGGCUGUUUUGUAUAAACUUAGAUAUAUACUUGGGUAAAGCACAUUUACCCAAAAGGAAUGAAAGCAUAUGUACACAUGAGGGCUUGUACACAAAUGAUCCUAGCAGUUUUAUUUGUAACAGUUAAAAACUGAAAAGAAUCCAAAUGUACAUCUGCAGGUGAGCAGAUAAUUAGGUUGUGGUAUAUCCAUGCAAAGCUGUGUCCAAGUCCUAACCCCUGGUACCUGUGAAUGUGACUAUGACAUAAUAGAGAAAAUACAUGUUGGUCUCUGCCCCUGGCUCCUGGCACAGUGCUCCUAAAACCUUUCUAAUUUCCUAAGUAAUAAAAGCACUAGGAACAUCUUUUGUUCUAAUAUUUGGUCUUUGACCUUAGUUCCUGACACUCAGCUCCUAAGUCCCUUGUCAUUUUCUGGGUGAUAUGAGUGUUUUGUUCUAUCGAGGUGACUCUGGGUGGGCCCCUGGAUGGCUCCUGGAUGGGAGCUGGUCACCAGAAAGACCAAGCCAUCAUUAGAAGCUCAGAAUUUUCAGUCUCAGCCCCCAUUCUCCAGAGAGGGAAGAGGGGCUGGAAAUGCAGUUAACGAUCCAUCAUUCC